rnacentral:tRNA from 2 species
GGAGAGGUGCCAGAGUGGCCGAAUGGGCGCGACUGGAAAUCGCGUGUUCCGUAACCCGGAACCAUGGGUUCGAAUCCCAUCCUCUCCGCCA